UCAACGUACAGUGCACUGUUGAUGUGGGGC
rnacentral:piRNA from 1 species